GCGCAGCUGCGUAAGCGAUAGUAGUGGAUAUCCUUUUUUGUCGGCUUGCGAGCCGGCAAAAAAGAUAGGAGCGGAUAGCGCGGUCUUCA
rnacentral:sRNA from 1 species